AGCGGCGGACGGGUGAGUAACACGUGGGCAACCUGCCCUGCAGAUCGGGAUAACUCCGGGAAACCGGUGCUAAUACCGAAUAGUUUGCGGCCUCUCCUGAGGCUGCACGGAAAGACGGUUUCGGCUGUCACUGCAGGAUGGGCCCGCGGCGCAUUAGCUAGUUGGUGGGGUAAUGGCCCACCAAGGCGACGAUGCGUAGCCGACCUGAGAGGGUGAUCGGCCACACUGGGACUGAGACACGGCCCAG
rnacentral:rRNA from 1 species